rnacentral:snoRNA from 1 species
CAGCCUUUGCCAACACUCUGGCCUGUACCAGCGCGAAUGUUUUCAUUUGAGCAAAAUCUCUACGGUACUGGCCUAUUUUGGUGCAAAGGAGAUCGAGUGACCAACUACUCACCGCGGUAUCCUGGAUUUUGCAUGGGUAUUACUUCCUUUUCGGAGGAAGGCAUGCUCGUGUAUCUAUCCUGUGGAUGCAGUGGUCCAUCUUGAAGGUCUAAAU